GACGAACGCUGGCGGCGUGCCUAAUACAUGCAAGUAGAACGCAGUUGCGAACGGGUGAGUAACGCGUAGGUAACUGCCCAAUAGCGGGGGAUAACUAUUGGAAAAGAUAGCUAAUACCGGAUAAUGUGAGAUGGACCUGAUUUGUAUUAGCUAGUUGGUGAGGUAAAGGCUCACCAAGGCGACGAUACAUAGACGACCUGAGAGGGUGAUCGGCCAACAUGGGACGUAGACCAGGCCCCGACUCCGUCGGGAGGCAGCAGUAGGGAAUCUUCGGCAAUGGACCGAAGGCUGACCGAGCAACGCCGCGUGAGUGAAGAAGGUUUUCGGAUCGUAAAGCUCUGUUGUUAGAGAAGCGGUACCUAACCAGAAAGGGACGGCUAACUACGUGCCAGCCGCCGCGGUAAUUC
rnacentral:rRNA from 1 species